rnacentral:tRNA from 1 species
GGGGUUGUGGCUCAGUGGUAGAGUGCUUUCCUAGCAUGUGUGAAGCACUGGGUUCAAUUCUCAACACCA